CCCAGACUCCUACGGGAGGCAGCAGUGGGGAAUAUUGCACAAUGGGGGAAACCCUGAUGCAGCGACGCCGCGUGGGUGAAGGAGCGUUUCGGCGCGUAAAGCCCUCUCGGCAGGGAAGAAGGAGGACGGUACCUGACUAAGAAGCCCCGGCUAACUACGUGCCAGCAGCCGCGGUAAUACGUAGGGGGCAAGCGUUAUCCGGAUUUACUGGGUGUAAAGGGAGCGUAGACGGCGAUGCAAGUCUGAAGUGAAAGCCCGGGGCUCAACCCCGGGACUGCUUUGGAAACUGUAUGGCUGGAGUGCUGGAGAGGCAAGCGGAAUUCCUGGUGUAGCGGUGAAAUGCGUAGAUAUCAGGAGGAACACCGGUGGCGAAGGCGGCCUGCUGGACUGCAACUGACGUUGAGGCCCGAAAGCGUGGGGAGCAAACAGGAUUAGAUACCCCCGUA
rnacentral:rRNA from 1 species